CGGCGCUAGGCCCCGGGGCGCCCCGGGGCCGGAGCGCGGGCGGCGGCGGCAUGAGCCGGGCCCCGGCGACCGGGAAAAUGCCCGGCGCCCCCGAGGCCGCGCCGGGGGACGGGGCGGGCGCCAGCCGCCAGAGGAAGCUGGAGGCGCUGAUCCGGGACCCUCGCUCGCCCAUCAACGUGGAGAGCUUGCUGGAUGGCUUAAAUUCCUUGGUCCUUGAUUUGGAUUUUCCUGCUUUGAGGAAAAACAAGAAUAUAGAUAAUUUUUUAAAUAGAUAUGAGAAAAUUGUGAAAAAAAUCAGAGGUCUACAGAUGAAGGCAGAAGACUAUGAUGUUGUAAAAGUUAUUGGAAGAGGUGCUUUUGGUGAGGUGCAGCUGGUUCGUCAUAAGGCAUCACAGAAGGUGUAUGCUAUGAAGCUUCUUAGUAAGUUUGAAAUGAUAAAAAGAUCAGAUUCUGCUUUUUUCUGGGAAGAGAGAGAUAUUAUGGCCUUUGCCAACAGUCCCUGGGUGGUUCAGCUCUUUUGUGCUUUUCAAGAUGAUAAGUAUCUGUACAUGGUAAUGGAGUACAUGCCUGGUGGAGAUCUUGUAAACCUUAUGAGUAACUAUGACGUGCCUGAAAAAUGGGCCAAAUUCUAUACUGCUGAAGUUGUUCUUGCUCUGGAUGCCAUACACUCCAUGGGCUUAAUUCACAGAGAUGUAAAGCCUGACAACAUGCUCUUGGAUAAACAUGGACAUCUAAAGUUAGCAGAUUUUGGCACAUGUAUGAAGAUGGAUGAAACAGGCAUGGUGCAUUGUGAUACAGCAGUUGGAACACCUGAUUAUAUUUCACCUGAGGUUCUCAAAUCACAAGGGGGUGAUGGUUACUAUGGGCGAGAAUGUGAUUGGUGGUCGGUGGGUGUUUUCCUUUUUGAGAUGCUGGUGGGGGAUACUCCAUUUUAUGCAGAUUCACUUGUAGGAACUUAUAGCAAAAUUAUGGAUCAUAAAAACUCACUGUGUUUCCCUGAAGAUGCAGAAAUUUCUAAACAUGCGAAGAAUCUCAUUUGCGCCUUCUUAACAGAUAGGGAGGUACGACUUGGGAGAAAUGGGGUAGAAGAAAUCAAACAGCAUCCUUUCUUUAAGAAUGAUCAAUGGAAUUGGGAUAACAUAAGAGAGACGGCAGCUCCUGUAGUACCAGAACUCAGCAGUGACAUAGACAGCAGCAAUUUUGAUGACAUCGAAGAUGAUAAAGGAGAUGUAGAAACUUUUCCAAUUCCUAAAGCUUUUGUGGGAAAUCAGCUGCCUUUUAUAGGAUUUACCUACUAUAGAGAAAAUCUGUUAUUAAGUGAGUCUUCAUCUUGUAGAGAAAAUGAUUCUUUACAAUCAAGGAAAAAUGAAGAAAGUCAAGAGAUUCAGAAAAAAUUAUAUACAUUAGAAGAACACCUCAGCACUGAGAUACAAGCCAAAGAAGAACUAGAGCAAAAGUGCAAAUCUGUUAAUACUCGACUUGAAAAAGUAGCAAAGGAAUUAGAAGAAGAGAUUACUUUAAGGAAAAAUGUGGAAUCAGCAUUAAGACAAUUAGAAAGAGAAAAGGCACUUCUUCAGCACAAAAAUGCAGAAUAUCAGCGGAAAGCUGAUCACGAAGCAGACAAGAAGCGGAAUUUGGAAAAUGAUGUUAACAGUUUAAAAGAUCAACUUGAAGAUUUGAAGAAAAGAAAUCAGAACUCUCAAAUAUCCACCGAGAAAGUGAAUCAGCUCCAGAGACAACUGGAUGAAACCAAUGCUUUACUGAGAACAGAAUCUGAUACUGCGGCCCGGUUAAGAAAAACCCAGGCAGAAAGUUCAAAACAGAUUCAGCAGCUGGAAUCUAACAAUAGAGAUCUCCAAGAUAAAAAUUGCCUGCUAGAGACUGCCAAGUUAAAACUUGAAAAGGAAUUUAUGAAUCUUCAGUCAGUUCUAGAAUCUGAAAGGAGGGACCGAACCCACGGAUCCGAGAUAAUUAAUGACUUACAAGGUAGAAUAUCUGGCCUAGAAGAAGACUUAAAGAAUGGAAAACUCUUAUUAGCAAAAGCAGAGGUGGAGAAGAGACAACUGCAGGAGAGACUUACUGAUUUGGAAAAGGAAAAGAACAACAUGGAAAUAGAUAUGACGUACCAACUAAAAGUUAUACAGCAGAGCUUAGAACAAGAAGAAGCUGAGCAUAAGGCCACAAAAGCACGGCUGGCAGAUAAAAAUAAGAUUUAUGAGUCCAUUGAAGAAGCAAAAUCAGAAGCCAUGAAAGAAAUGGAGAAGAAGCUCUCAGAGGAAAGGACGUUAAAACAGAAGGUGGAGAAUCUAUUGCUGGAAGCUGAGAAAAGAUGCUCUUUAUUCGACUGUGACCUCAAGCAGUCACAGCAGAAAAUAAAUGAACUCCUUAAACAGAAAGAUGUGCUAAAUGAGGAUGUUAGAAACUUGACAUUAAAAAUAGAGCAGGAAACUCAGAAGCGCUGCCUUACACAAAAUGACUUGAAGAUGCAAACACAGCAAGUUAACACACUAAAAAUGUCAGAAAAACAGUUAAAACAAGAGAAUAAUCAUCUCAUGGAAAUGAAAAUGAGCUUGGAAAAGCAGAAUGCUGAACUUCGGAAAGAACGUCAAGAUGCAGAUGGGCAAAUGAAAGAACUUCAGGAUCAGCUUGAAGCAGAGCAGUAUUUCUCAACCCUCUAUAAAACUCAGGUGAGGGAGCUUAAAGAAGAAUGUGAAGAAAAGACCAAACUUUGUAAAGAAUUACAGCAGAAGAAACAGGAAUUACAGGAAGAAAGGGAUUCCUUGGCUGCUCAACUGGAGAUCACCUUGACCAAAGCAGAUUCUGAGCAGCUGGCUCGUUCAAUUGCUGAAGAGCAGUAUUCUGAUUUGGAAAAAGAGAAAAUUAUGAAGGAGCUUGAGAUCAAAGAGAUGAUGGCUAGACACAAACAGGAACUCACUGAAAAAGAUGCUACAAUUGCAUCUCUUGAAGAAACGAAUAGGACACUAACUAGUGAUGUUGCCAAUCUUGCAAAUGAGAAAGAAGAAUUAAAUAACAAAUUGAAAGAUGCACAAGAACAGCUGUCACGGCUGAAGGAUGAGGAGAUCAGUGCAGCUGCUAUUAAAGCACAGUUUGAGAAGCAGCUGCUCACAGAGAGAACACUGAAAACUCAAGCUGUGAAUAAGUUGGCUGAGAUCAUGAAUCGAAAAGAACCUGUCAAGCGUGGUAGUGACACUGAUGUGCGGAGAAAAGAGAAAGAAAAUCGGAAGCUACAUAUGGAGCUUAAAUCUGAACGUGAAAAACUGACCCAGCAGAUGAUCAAGUACCAGAAAGAACUGAAUGAAAUGCAGGCUCAAAUAGCUGAAGAGAGCCAGAUUCGAAUUGAACUGCAGAUGACACUGGACAGUAAAGAUAGUGACAUUGAGCAGCUGCGGUCACAGCUCCAGGCUUUGCAUAUUGGUCUGGAUAGUUCCAGUAUAGGCAGUGGACCGGGGGACGCUGAGGCAGAUGAUGGGUUUCCAGAAUCAAGACUAGAAGGAUGGCUUUCAUUGCCUUUACGAAACAACACUAAGAAAUUUGGAUGGACUAAAAAGUAUGUGAUUGUAAGCAGUAAGAAGAUUCUUUUCUAUGACAGCGAACAAGAUAAAGAACAAUCUAAUCCUUACAUGGUUUUAGAUAUAGACAAAUUAUUUCAUGUCCGACCAGUUACACAGACAGAUGUAUAUAGAGCAGAUGCUAAAGAUAUUCCAAGGAUAUUUCAGAUUCUGUACGCCAAUGAAGGAGAAAGUAAGAAGGAACAAGAAUUUCCAGUGGAGCCAGUAGGAGAAAAAUCAAAUUAUAUUUGCCAUAAAGGACAUGAAUUUAUUCCUACUCUGUAUCAUUUCCCAACCAACUGUGAGGCUUGUAUGAAGCCAUUGUGGCAUAUGUUUAAACCUCCUCCUGCUUUAGAAUGCCGGCGCUGCCAUAUUAAAUGUCAUAAAGAUCACAUGGACAAAAAGGAGGAGAUUAUAGCACCUUGCAAGGUUUAUUGUGAUAUUUCGACGGCAAAGAAUCUAUUGUUGUUAGCAAAUUCUACAGAAGAGCAGCAGAAGUGGGUUAGUCGGUUGGUGAAAAAGAUUCCUAAAAAGCCUCCAGCUCCAGACCCUUUUGCACGGUCAUCACCUAGAACUUCAAUGAAGAUACAACAAAACCAGUCUAUUAGACGGCCAAGUCGACAGCUUGCCCCAAACAAACCAAGGACCUUCAGUAUAUGAAUAAUGAUGUGCAUUGGCUGUAUUAUCAGAAAUCUUUUCAUUCUAACCACAAACAUCUUAUAUGAAACUUUUCUUGAAACUAUUAUCUCAAGGAAGUAAUUUAGAAUGACAAAGGUAGAAUUGGUGUGUCAGCAGUGAAAAUGUUGAAUUUUUCUGUGAGCUAGCUGCCUUCUAUGAAUGCAGUCAUUAUUCAAGGUGAUCAUAUUCUUCCAGUUAAAACAAGACUGAAGUAUGAUGGGCCAGAAUUUCUUAAAAAGCUAUAUUUUCUGGAGGGACUGAUACACACACACACACACACACACACACAUUUCCCUUAUUCCUGCAAUAUAAAUUAUAAAUCUUGGAUAUUUUCUGGGCUCCUUUGGAGCAUCAAGUUGAACCAACAAUGAUUGGUUAAUAGAGUAAGAAUAUCAUAUGCAACUCUUCCAAACUUGUUCCAUAAAACUCUCUUGGCAGUCACUCACACUACAUUGCACAAAAGGAUUGAGAAGAGUUAAAGCUUAAAGAAAUCAUCUUUUCAGCUUCAACAGAGAGAUUUCACCAGCACAUUUACCAGAAGAUUCUGGGAAUGGAUUCCACUACAGUGAUAGAGACUGCAUCUUUAAGAAGUGACCAUUAUACUGUGUGUGUGCAUAUAUAUGUGUGUGUGUGUGUCUCUAUGUGCAUGCGUGCACACACACACACACACACAUAUAUAAUAGUACUGUAAUACUGCAAGAGGGUUCAACAAAUGUCCCAUUUUAUUUUUUUAUACACAUUAAUCAGAUAUCAUAACUUACUGCAGUUGCAACUAUGCACUUGUAUAAAGCCAUAAUGUUGGAGUUUAUAUCACUCAUUUUGUGUAUACCCCAUGGAGGCUGCAUGUUCAUGUUUAAGCAAUUACUGUAACAGGAGUUUUGAUGUUAAUUGUAUCAAUUUCCUAAUGCUUCAUGAUAGGCAACUUUACCCAUUUUGAAUGCCUUAAUUUAAUUUUUUUUUAAAAGUCUCACCCUUUUCUGUAUUUUGAAAAAAGAAGUGUUUUCCAGCUCUUAGGAUGCAAAUUCGCUUUGCAAAAGAAAAACAGUGCACUAUUUUUACAUGUAAUAGUUAUCAGUGUCAGCCUAUUUUGAUUGUAUAACAAUUUUUUUUAAAAGUACUGGUGAUAGAAACAAUAAUGGAUACUAUUGGAACUAAUAUAUCUUUUAUGUAUAUCUAUUAUUCAUCCCACUCUUCUUACAGACCUCAGUAUUAGUGUGUGACUGAAAUGUUUGCUUUGCUUUGAAUUUGCUGGCUACCCUAGAUGUAUUUUUAUUUCUGGUAGAGACAUUGUGACUAUUUUUACAUUUUCACACUCAAGAUUCUAAGAUUAUCUCAAAUAUAAAGAAAAUUAAGACAUACUGUAGAUAUAUUUUAAAUAUUUAAAUGUGAUUCCUCAAACACACAACUGUAUAUGGCAAUAUUUCAGGAUUGGGCUAAAACUGGUGACUGGGAAGAACUAGCCUCAGAGGCUCUUAACCUGAUUUUUAUUUUUUAAAUGAUGUUAAAGUCAUAGGUUAUGCAGGACCAUUUCUGCUAGAUUUCUCAUUGUCCCAGAAAAAUGUGUUUUGUACUGCUACCAUAUGGAUUAAUGAUAAGCAUCAAGUUAAAAAAAUUAUGUAGUCUUUUAUCAGUCUCUUUAUAAUACAUAUACACAGGGUUUGGUGUGAUAUUGAAAUACAUCAUCUAAUAGUUCAAUGAAGGAAGCAGACAUUUUUCAUUGAUUACUUUUGGAGUCAGUGUAUAAAUGUUUAAAGAGUUAGACCCCCAAAAUAUAGAUACUAUUGUGAAAAUUGAAGAGUGGCCUUUGGCCUACUGAUGUACUAAAACUGAAUCUUGUUAUUCUCAUUAUCCCACCUGCACUCUUCCAUGAUGUCUCUGCUAAACCAGAAACUCAUGUCAUUUCCCUCACAGGGAUGUUCUGCAGUUCUGGUUUGGGGGCACAGCCUUUUUUUUUUUUUUUUUAAGUAAGAUAUAAAAAUGAAAAAUAUAUAAAAUUUAUAUAGAAUAAAUAUUUCCAUUCAUUAGACUUGUUAAAAGGAGACUGAAUUAAUAUUUUAUAUAAAGAUUUUGUUACACUAUGGGAGGUUCUAUCAUAUUCUGAAUUGGAGAGUAUAUAUAUAUAUAUAUUUUUAAUAAACUUUAUUAAGGUGAAAUAAUUUGAAGUUUACACGAGUAAUUGAAAUAUUUGAGUAAAAAUGGCGAAAGUUAAUUUUUGAAUGCUGUAUAUAUUAGAGAAUAUGGAGAAUCAUGGUGUGAUGCAACUAUACAAGGAAAAUUAAUGUGAAGUUUUUUGGGGAAAAAAAGGUAUUCUAAGAGGUGAAAAAAAUCUCUCCCAUGGAGAUUCUUCACAUUAUAUGGUUUAACAUAAGGGUUCAAUAGGGUUGUUUCUCCAGCUAAUGGAAAUGCGCUUAAUAAAAAUUCUGACCUUGGGUAAGAAUUUGCUUUUUACCCUGUUGCUGGUUUCAUGUACAUACAUGAAUGCAUACACCCAUACAAAUGUUCUCUUCUCAACACUCAUUAAAUACAAUAUUGACUUGGUUUAACAACCUGAUUUUGUGCCAGCUUCUCUUUUUCUUGAGGCUCCAAAGGUUCCCAGAUAAAUAAAGACCAAAAGUUGCUUAUUUCUUCACACCUGAUUUCUCCUAGAGCCAUAAAUACCUCCUAUUGAGAACUGAGAAGUAGUGAAUACUGGGAUUUUCUUAGUUGGAUUUUUUACUUUUGUUUAGUGGGGGAUAGCAAGACAGAAGUAGAAGGAAAACUGGUGCCGGUAUUAUUGUUAAAAAUAAAUGUAUAGUGAAUGUUUGAAAAGUAUUAAAGAAAAUAUGCUAUCUAGAAGCAAGAUUUAAAAAAAAAUCUAUCUGAAAAUUUUAACUAAAGGAUACCAAGAAAUCUAGAGUAAGGUUAGUUUUUUAAAACUAACCUAGGCUAGAGUCACAAAUCUGGCUCUGAAGGACGUCUUUUUUUUUUUUUUUUUUUUUUUUUUUUAUCAGUUUAGCUGUAGAUCCUCAAAAAACAAAACAAAACAAAAAAACUCUAGGUUGCCAAACCAGAAUUUAAGAAGUUUUGCUGCUGUUGUUAAUCUAUUCUUACAGGAUUCUCGUGGUAAAAUAGAGAAACUUAGACACUAUAUUACCUUUUUCAAACAUGCUUUAAUAACAUGUUUAAUAUUCUAUGAGAGCAAGUCACUUCUGAGUUUCUCAGUCUGUGUCGACACUGCUACUGACUCACGUCUCCUCCCCUGGAAGAAGGCUGCAGUUUUCCUCUGGCGUGAAGAUAACCAUAGUUGAUUCAUAAAGCACUUUGAAAAUAGGCACUGUAUGACAGUGCUGGAUAUUAUGCUUGGGGGCCUGUCCUCGAUUCCCUUCCCCAUAAUGAGUUUUGUUUGAAAUUGUAAUAAGUUAUGAACUGCAUGGUUUAGAUAAUCAUAAAUAUUUGAUCAACUGUCCCCUUUGAACAAAAAUCGUACCCCCCUGAUUUUUAAAAAAUUUUUGUUGCAUCUUUGUAGUAAUGUAAUUGUAUUUUAUGCCUGCUUUUUAUAUUAAAAAAAUUAAAUAAAAGAAAUUAAGACAUAA